GCUUAGAGGUAGCCUGAUGAACUGAAUAUCCAUUAAUAGAAAAUUCAUCGCCAAUGUUAAAAUAUAUUUAAAUAUUAAUUAUUAAUUUAUAUUAUGAAAAUGGUGUGCAUUUUUUCUAUAAAGGACAUUGUAAUCGGUUAAUAAAUUAAAAAUUUAUCAAAAGAUUCAUAAUUAUAAGAGUUUAUUCUAAUUAAAUUUCUUUUAGUUUAAAAUUGAAUAAAUUUUAUGAAUUUGAUAAAAUAUUGACCGAUUUAAUUAUAAUAAUGUUAAAAAAUUUCUUUUUGAAAUUUUUAUAAUAAAUUUAAUUUAUAUAUAUAAUUAAAUUUUAUUGUAUACAUUUUUAUGAUUUACAAUGUUAUAAAUUCAGGAUACCUUCGGGACCCGUCUUGAAACACGGACCAAGGAGUCUAACAUAUGUGCAAGUCGUUGAGUAAUUUAUAUAAAACUCAAAGGCAUAAUUAACUUAACUGUUUUUAAUGGGAUUAAUUUAUAUAUGUUUUUUUUUUUUUUUUAAGGAAAAGAAUUGUUGUAAUUUCAAUCCCAGGGCGUUCUAUAUAGUUAUGCAUAAUAAUAUUUAUAUAAUUUAUGUCUCUAACUG
rnacentral:rRNA from 1 species